rnacentral:rRNA from 1 species
AGUGAACGCUGGCGGUAGGCCUAACACAUGCAAGUCGAACGGCAGCACAGUAAGAGCUUGCUCUUACGGGUGGCGAGUGGCGGACGGGUGAGGAAUACAUCGGAAUCUACUUUUUCGUGGGGGAUAACGUAGGGAAACUUACGCUAAUACCGCAUACGACCUACGGGUGAAAGCAGGGGAUCUUCGGACCUUGCGCGAUUGAAUGAGCCGAUGUCGGUUUAGCUAGUUGGCGGGGUAAAGGCCCACCAAGGCGACGAUCCGUAGCUGGUCUGAGAGGAUGAUCAGCCACACUGGAAGUGAGACACGGUCCAGACACCUACAGGAGGCAGCAGUGGGGAAUAUUGGACGAUGGGCGCAAGCCUAAUCCAGCCAUACCGCGUGGGUGAAGAAGGCCUUCGGGUUGUAAAGCCCUUUUGUUGGGAAAGAAAAGCAGCAGGUUAAUACCCCGCUGUUCUGACGGUACCCAAAGAAUAAGCACCGGCUAACUUCGUG